AGCCCAAUAACGCUUUUCUGGCAGUUCACAAGGGCUACUGAAUUUACGAGGCACUUGCAAGUCAGGGUACUCCAAAGUUCCAGCACUGUGUUGAUAAUUCACUACAGAAAGUUGCUGCUACAGGCCUCUAUUUGGACCCUGUAGAACCUUGAAGAGAAGACCAUUUUUCAAUCUCUACAUGAAGACCAUCUUAAAAAGAACCCCCAG